GCUCAGGUGGCCUAGUGGUUAGAGCGUCCGCCUCGGAUGCCGGAGGUUAUAGGUUCUAUCCCUUGUUGAAUCA